rnacentral:rRNA from 1 species
UACUACAAGCGCUAGCUUAAAACCCAAAGGACUUGGCGGUAUCCCAUACCCACCUAGAGGAGCCUGUUCUAUAACCGAUAAUCCCCGUUCAACCUCACCACUUCUUGCCACUACCGUCUAUAUACCGCCGUCGUCAGCCCACCCUGUGAAGGACUAAAAGUAAGCAAAAAGAAUAAAACUCCAAAACGUCAGGUCGAGGUGUAGCAAAUGAAGUGGGAAGAAAUGGGCUACAUUUUUUUUCCAAAACAUACGAAUGGCAAACUGAAAACACACCUAAAGGUGGAUUUAGCAGUAAGAGGAGAUCAGAAUACUCCUCUGAAAUUGGCUCUGGGAUAAGCACACACCGCCCGUCACUCUCCUCAAAAAUAACUCACCAUUUUCUAUAAAUACAUCUCUUCAAUAAGAGGAGGCAAGUCGUAACAUGGUAAGUGUACUGGAAAGUGCACUUGGAAUCAAAA